rnacentral:rRNA from 1 species
UACAGAGGGGGCAAGCGUUGUUCGGAAUUACUGGGCGUAAAGGGCGCGUAGGCGGCCUUCUAAGUCGAACGUGAAAUCCCCGGGCUCAACCCGGGAACUGCGUCCGAUACUGGAAGGCUAGAAUCCGGGAGAGGGAUGCGGAAUUCCAGGUGUAGCGGUGAAAUGCGUAGAUAUCUGGAGGAAUACCGGUGGCGAAGGCGGCAUCCUGGACCAUUACUGACGCUGAGGCGCGAAAGCUAGGGGAGCAAACGGG